rnacentral:rRNA from 1 species
CCCUUAGAUGUUCUGGGCGGCCCGCGCACUACAUUGGCACUCUCAAUAAGUUCCUAGAUCUAAAACUUUGGGGUAUUCUAUUAAGUGGUGUCGUGACUGGGAUUAACCCUUGCAAUUAUUGGUUACGAACGAGGAAUUCCUUGUAAUCGCGGUUUAUCAGCCCGCGUUGAAUGUGUCCCUGCCCUUUGUACACACCGCCCGUCGCUCCUACCGAUGAAUCGUCCGGUGAAGUUCAUGGAGUGGUGGUUGUUCCAGCUGCUGUCGAAGUGAAAUGGACCUCACGAUUUAGAGGAAGGAGAAGUCGUAACA